KAUGAACGCUGGCGGCAUGACGUAAUACAUGCMWUUCAAACGAASUGAYCCACACCAAACAGAAGUGCUUGCACGGAAGUGGAAAUGGAACCUCACUUAGUGGCGAACGGGUGAGUAACACGUGGGUAACCUGCCCUUCAAACUGGGAUAACUAUUGGAAACGAUAGCUAAUACCGGAUAGGUAAAUUUGAGGCAUCUCAAAUUUAUUAAAGGUGCGUAUGCACCAUUGAAGGAUGGACCCGCGGUGCAUUAGCUAGUUGGUAAGGUAACGGCUUACCAAGGCGAUGAUGCAUAGCCGACCUGAGAGGGUGACCGGCCACAUUGGGACUGAGACACGGCCCAGACUCCUACGGGAGGCAGCAGUAGGGAAUUUUCGUCAAUGGGGGGAACCCUGAACGAGCAAUGCCGCGUGAGCGAAGAAGGAUUUCGGUCUGUAAAGCUCUGUUGUAAAGGAAGAAAGCUAGAGAUAGGAAAUGAUCUUUAGUUGACGGUACUUUACCAGAAAGCCACGGCUAACUACGUGCCAGCAGCCGCGGUAAUACGUAGGUGGCAAGCGUUAUCCGGAAUUAUUGGGCGUAAAGGGUGCGUAGGCGGCCGAAUAAGUCUGAAGUAAAAGCCAGUGGCUCAACCACUGUUCGCUUUGGAAACUGUUUGGCUAGAGUGCAGAAGAGGCAAGUGGAAUUCCAUGUGUAGCGGUAAAAUGCGUAGAUAUAUGGAGGAACACCAGUGGCGAAGGCGGCUUGCUGGUCUGUAACUGACGCUGAGGCACGAAAGCGUGGGGAGCAAAUAGGAUUAGAUACCCUAGUAGUCCACGCCGUAAACGAUGAGAACUAAGUGUUGGAGUAAUUCAGUGCUGCAGUUAACGCAAUAAGUUCUCCGCCUGGGGAGUAUGCACGCAAGUGUGAAACUCAAAGGAAUUGACGGGGGCCCGCACAAGCGGUGGAGUAUGUGGUUUAAUUCGAAGCAACGCGAAGAACCUUACCAGGCCUUGACAUCCCGAGCAAAGUUAUGGAGACAUAAUGGAGGUUAUCUCGGUGACAGGUGGUGCAUGGUUGUCGUCAGCUCGUGUCGUGAGAUGUUGGGUUAAGUCCCGCAACGAGCGCAACCCUUGUCUUUAGUUACUAACAUUUAGUUGAGGACUCUAGAGAGACUGCCGGUGAUAAACCGGAGGAAGGUGGGGAUGACGUCAAAUCAUCAUGCCCCUUAUGGCCUGGGCUACACACGUACUACAAUGGCAACUACAAAGAGCAGCGAACUCGCGAGAGCAAGCAAAUCUCAUAAAGGUUGUCUCAGUUCGGAUUGAAGUCUGCAACUCGACUUCAUGAAGUCGGAAUCGCUAGUAAUCGUAGAUCAGCAUGCUACGGUGAAUACGUUCUCGGGCCUUGUACACACCGCCCGUCAAACCAUGGAAGUUGGUAAUACCCGAAGCCGGUGGCAUAACCCUUUAGGAGUGAGCCGUCGAAGGUAGGACCGAUGACUGGGGUU
rnacentral:rRNA from 1 species